UACGUAGGGCGCAAGCGUUGUCCGGAAUUAUUGGGCGUAAAGAGCUCGUAGGCGGCUUGUCACGUCGGGUGUGAAAGCCCGGGGCUUAACCCCGGGGCUGCAUUCGAUACGGGCAGGCUAGAGUGUGGUAGGGGAGAUCGGAAUUCCUGGUGUAGCGGUGAAAUGCGCAGAUAUCAGGAGGAACACCGGUGGCGAAGGCGGAUCUCUGGGCCAUUACUGACGCUGAGGCGCGAAAGCGUGGGGAGCGAACAGG
rnacentral:rRNA from 1 species